ACACCGUUGGUGAAGUGGUUAUCAUGCUUGCCUUCCAUUCCCAUUUUCUCCUCGUGAACAGCAAGCGGCUCGGGUUCGAUUCCCGAACGGUGUA